AUGUCUUCGUACGUCGUGCUCGUCGCGGCCAUCGUCGUCCUUGUCGCCUUCUGCUACGUGGACAAGAAAGCUCGAAGCAAGAACAGCAAGCUCCCGCCGUCGCCACCGUGUAUGCCGCUGCUGGGCUACCUCCACCUCCUUGGCCGCCUCGCGCACCGCUCCCUGCGCGACCUGCACGCUCGAUACGGCAGCGACGGCGGCCUCCUGCUCCUGUGGCUCGGGCGCAGGCGGCCGCUGGUGGUGUCCACGGUGACCGUUGUGGCGGACCUGUACAAGAACCACGGUAAACCCAACGACCAGAGUUCGAUCCACGUCGGGGACGAAUUUCUGAAAUUCUCAUGA
rnacentral:rRNA from 1 species